rnacentral:rRNA from 3 species
CUUCGGGAGGGCGCUUACCACUUUGUGAUUCAUGACUGGGGUGAAGUCGUAACAAGGUAACCGUAGGGGAACCUGCGGUUGGAUCACCUCCUUACCUUAAAGAAGC